GAUGAACGCUGGCGGCGUGCUUAACACAUGCAAGUCGAACGGGAAACCUUUUAAUGAAGCUUCGGCAGAUUUAGCUGGUUUCUAGUGGCGGACGGGUGAGUAACGCGUGGGUAACCUGCCUUAUACAGGGGGAUAACAGUCAGAAAUGACUGCUAAUACCGCAUAAGCGCACAGGACCGCAUGGUCCGGUGUGAAAAACUCCGGUGGUAUAAGAUGGACCCGCGUUGGAUUAGCUUGUUGGUGGGGUAACGGCUCACCAAGGCGACGAUCCAUAGCCGGCCUGAGAGGGUGAGCGGCCACAUUGGGACUGAGACACGGCCCAGACUCCUACGGGAGGCAGCAGUGGGGAAUAUUGCACAAUGGGGGAAACCCUGAUGCAGCGACGCCGCGUGAAGGAAGAAGUAUCUCGGUAUGUAAACUUCUAUCAGCAGGGAAGAUAGUGACGGUACCUGACUAAGAAGCCCCGGCUAACUACGUG
rnacentral:rRNA from 1 species